AUGGCUUCAUCAGCCAGCAGGACCAAAUUAUCCCUGUGUUUAUUUUUUUUAAAAAAGGCACUGACCUAUGAAUAAAUAGCACUUGACAUUGAAAAUUGCCACAUUAAAUACCCUGCUCCUCUCCCCGAUUAUAGCAGCCUCCGGAGCUCUUCCAAAUUGUCACCUAGGAUGAAUAUGACAGCAAACAAUGCUUUAAAAGAGCCAGCUCUGUGGUUCCCAGCUCUCCCCAGCCAAACUGUGCUUACGUUUCAUAGGGUCACUGACCUUUCUUUCCUUGCUGCUCCAACAACUGCUAUCUUUGCAGCUCUUCUUCCAUCUGCUGCCUUGUUUUUUGUUCCAUGGCCAUUGUGGUUGAGUACGUCCUUUGUCUGAGCUGGGACAGACAACAACUGGCUGAGAAGCAUCCCGGAAGGCUCAGAGCCAUCCCUCUGUGCAGUAUGCAACCACUCAACACCAUCUGGGGGACCCACUAGCCAAGAUGCUCUGAGGUGGGGCACUCAGGGUUGCCAGCCUUAUCAGUGAAAUAUGGAAAGACAGAAAUAAAGAAGCAAUUUCAAGA